rnacentral:misc_RNA from 1 species
GAUGAAGAACGCAACGAAAUGCGAUAAGUAGUGUGAAUUGCAGAAUUCAGUGAAUCAUCGAAUCUUUGAACGCACAUUGCGCCCUCUGGUAUUCCGGAGGGCAUGCCUGUUCGAGCGUCAUUAAAACUACUCAAGCUAAGGUUUUACCUUCUGCUUGGUCUUGGGUUUGAGGAUUCAAAAUCCUCUCUCCGAAAUCCAGUGGCGAAUUGUUUGAGCUGUAGACGUAGUAAAUCAUUCUACCCGUUGCAAGCGAGAAUAAUAUUCAGCCAUAACCCCCAUACUUUUCUAGUUUGACCUCGGAUCAGGUAGGGAUACCCGCUGAACUUAAGCAUAUCAAUAAGCGGAGGA